rnacentral:piRNA from 1 species
UAGCUGUUAAAAGGGAAUGCCCGCUCAA